UACGUAGGGUGCGAGCGUUAAUCGGAAUUACUGGGCGUAAAGCGUGCGCAGGCGGUUUUGUAAGCCAGAUGUGAAAUCCCCGGGCUUAACCUGGGAAUGGCAUUUGGGACUGCAAGGCUGGAGUGUGGCAGAGGAGACUGGAAUUCCUGGUGUAGUGGUGAAAUACGUAGAUAUCAGGAGGGAUACCAGAGGCGAAGGCGGGUAACUGGACCAACAUUGACACUGAGACCCGAAAGCGUGGGGAUCAAACAGG
rnacentral:rRNA from 1 species